AGGAUCAUUACAGAGUUAGGGUCUUUCAGGCCCGAUCUCCAACCCUUUGUGUACCUACCUUUGUUGCUUUGGCGGGCCCGUUGGGGCGACCCACCGGUGGCCUUCGGCUCCCGAGUGCCCGUCAGAGACCCAUUCAAACCUGUCAAUUGUGUCGUCUGAGUACCAACUUAAUAAUUAAAACUUUCAACAACGGAUCUCUUGGUUCUGGCAUCGAUGAAGAACGCAGCGAAAUGCGAUAAGUAAUGUGAAUUGCAGAACUCAGUGAAUCAUCGAAUCUUUGAACGCACAUUGCGCCUCUCGGUAUUCCGGGAGGCAUGCCUGUUCGAGCGUCAUUACACCACUCAAGCUCGGCUUGGUGUUGGGCCCUCGUCCCCCGCGGACGUGCCCGGAAAUCAGUGGCGGCACAGCCCGGCUUCAAGCGCAUCAGUCGUAACAACGCUUUGGAAGUUCGGGUCUGGGUCUGCCAGACAACCCCACCAUUUAUCAAGGUUGACCUCGGAUCAGGUAGGGAUACCCGCUGAACUUAAGCAUAUCAAUAAGCGGAGGAAAAGAAACCAACAGGGAUUGCCUCAGUAACGGCGAGUGAAGCGGCAACAGCUCAAAUUUGAAAUCUGGCUCUUUCAGGGUCCGAGUUGUAAUUUGCAGAGGAUGCUUCGGGUUUGGCUCCGGUCUAAGUUCCUUGGAACAGGACGUCAUAGAGGGUGAGAAUCCCGUAUGUGACCGGUCGCCACGCCCGUGUGAAGCUCCUUCGACGAGUCGAGUUGUUUGGGAAUGCAGCUCAAAAUGGGUGGUAAAUUUCAUCUAAAGCUAAAUAUUGGCCAGAGACCGAUAGCGCACAAGUAGAGUGAUCGAAAGAUGAAAAGCACUUUGGAAAGAGAGUCAAACAGUACGUGAAAUUGUUGAAAGGGAAGCGCUUGCAAUCAGACUUGCCCGCGGGUGAUCAGCCGGUAUUCUUACCGGUGCACUCGCCCGUGGUCAGGCCAGCAUCGGUUCGGGCGGCUGGAUAAAGUCCACCGGAACGUAGCUCCCCUCGGGGAGUGUUAUAGCCGGAGGUGCCAUGCAGCCCGCCCGGACCGAGGACCGCGCU
rnacentral:sRNA from 1 species